rnacentral:rRNA from 1 species
AGAGUGAACGCUGGCGGUGGCCUAACACAUGCAAGUCGAACGGCAGCACAGGAGAGCUUGCUCUCUGGGUGGCGAGUGGCGGACGGGUGAGGAAUACAUCGGAAUCUACCUUUUCGUGGGGGAUAACGUAGGGAAACUUACGCUAAUACCGCAUAAGACCUUCGGGUGAAAGCCGGGGACCUUCGGGCCUGGCGCGGAUAGAUGAGCCGAUGUCGGAUUAGCUUGUUGGCGGGGUAAAGGCCCACCAAGGCGACGAUCCGUAGCUGGUCUGAGAGGAUGAUCAGCCACACUGGAACUGAGACACGGUCCAGACUCCUACGGGAGGCAGCAGUGGGGGAAAUAUUGGACAAAUGGGGCGCAAAGCCUGAAUCCAGCCAUACCGCGUGGGUGAAGAAGG